GCCAGGGCUGGGCGCGGUGACUCAUGCCUGUAAUCCUAGCACUUUGGGAGGCCAACGCAGGCGGAUCACGAGGUCAGGAGAUUGGGACCAACCUGGCAAACAGGGUGAAACCCUGUCUCUACUAAAAAUACAAAAUACAAAAAAAAUCAGCCUGGCAUGGUGGCGGGCGCCUGUGGUCCCAGCUACUCUGGAGGCUGACGCAGGAGAAUGCCGUGAACCCGGGAGGCGGAGCUUGCAGAGAGCCGGAGAUCACGCCACUGCACUCCAGCCUGGGCUACAGAGCAAGACUCCGUCUCAAAAAAAACCAAAACAAAACAAAACAAAAAAAACACCCAGUUUUUCCAUGGAGUGAUAGAAUUUAAUUGAUGAGCUUGACGAGCUUAAUUACAGAAGGGAGAGCUCCAAAAUACAUAUAAAAGUAAAGCAAAUGAAAUAUUAUGAAGUAUCAAGGUGACACUGUAGAAGCUUAAUGAUUACUUCAGAAGGAUGUUCACCAUAAAGAUUAAGAAAAUUGAUUUUGUAAAAUGUGAUACUAUUUUUAUAAAAACUACAAAUCUGAGAUUUUCCAUGUCUACUCUGGUGCCAUUACUGGAAGAUCCUUCCAUUUUCUACAAGGGAUUUUUACCUAUAUUGUUGAGAAGUGGAAUCCCCUUUGGUAGCUCUGUACCUUCAGCUUCUCCCUCUGUGGUAUCCAUUCCCUGCCACAACUAUAGAAUCUGCAAUCUGGAAAAAAUGACAUAACCACUAAAAA
rnacentral:lncRNA from 10 species